AUUGAACGCUGGCGGCAGGCCUAACACAUGCAAGUCGAGCGGAUGAAGGGAGCUUGCUCCUGGAUUCAGCGGCGGACGGGUGAGUAAUGCCUAGGAAUCUGCCUGGUAGUGGGGGAUAACGUCCGGAAACGGGCGCUAAUACCGCAUACGUCCUGAGGGAGAAAGUGGGGGAUCUUCGGACCUCACGCUAUCAGAUGAGCCUAGGUCGGGUUAGCUAGUUGGUGGGGUAAAGGCCUACCAAGGCGACGAUCCGUAACUGGUCUGAGAGGAUGAUCAGUCACACUGGAACUGAGACACGGUCCAGACGCCUACGGGAGGCAGCAGUGGGGAAUAUUGGACAAUGGGCGAAAGCCUGAUCCAGCCAUGCCGCGUGUGUGAAGAAGGUCUUCGGAUUGUAAAGCACUUUAAGUUGGGAGGAAGGGCAGUAAGUUAAUACCUUGCUGUUUUGACGUUACCAACAGAAUAAGCACCGGCUAACUUCGU
rnacentral:rRNA from 1 species